GAGUGGUACCCCGCCCUGCCUCUGCUAGGGAAGGGGCGGGCUGCUGCACCUGGCCGGACUGAGGCUUCUGCGAACCUUCCCCAACUUACCCGCUACCCACCCCCUCGUGACCCCCAGUCCAAAGCCUGUGCCUGCAUGCCGGUGGCUGUCGUGGCUCCUUUCUGGUUGUAUCUGAUAUGGUAGCCACUGCCGUUGAAAUUGAACUUCCCCACUAGCCCACAGGAUAUGAAUUAUCCAGGUUGACUUGGACCGCACCUCCAAUGAGAGUUUACAACCCCCAUAUAAUCCAUCAGCAUACUCUUCUCUCCCUUUAAAAAUAAACUCUCAAUCCACCUCC